UCCGAAUUAGUGUAGUGCCUAGAAUUUGAUGCUCUCAUCUUGUAUAAUCCGUCAAACCCGGUGUUCGAUUCUCUAGUUCGGAG